UAAUUGACAGAAUAAAAUGUAAAUUUCAGCAUAUUUUUUCACACAAAAAUGUGUUAGUGCGUAGAAAUGUGAUCAGGCUGAGCACAAUGGCCUUAUGGAUUUCAUGAUUUUCGGCGCUUAACGUGAAAACAGCUAAAGCACAGGAUUCACGAACAUUAAAUUUAUGCUUAAAUCUAUAUGCGAUACAUUAUGCAUAUAAUUAUAAUUCACGAUAAUAUCGCAUAUGGAAGUAACUGGAAUAAAUUUGGACUAUUUCCUUCGGAAGUUUACAGGACUGUCCUGUCAAAAGGCCUCCCUCGUGUUUACAUAUUUUGACAGGUCGAGUUGUUCUGGGACUAGGAACAAUGAUGAAUGAAUACCAGCACCAUGGAAACAAUGUCAUUUGCAAACUUUUUGAACCAGUGCUGGGCGUUCACAUUGACAUUUCUUGUUCAACAGGAAUACAUGAUGUCGACCAACAGUACAGCUAGAUGAAGAUAUAAAUUUAUUCAAAGAAAUAAUGGGACAAUGAAUACUAAAAUUGCCAAGAAGAAGACUGCCAAUUUACACACCAUUUUAUACAGUUAAAAUAUGAUAUGGAGAACAAAAUGCCUCAAUGCAGCCAGUUCUGGAGCUUUGGCUAGACUAUGAACAGUAGACAUCAAAAGAUGAUCAUCUGAAGGGCCACAAUUGUUUAAAGCACUGGUCAACAAAAACUGAACUAUUUGAUGGAUCAUACAUCUGCAGAAUGUACUACCAUAUUUCCAGAAUCAGAGAAAUAGAAAUUUCAAGUAUUAGAGAGAAAGAAAAGUAUGCAUCAUGUAUGAAGAACUGCCUAAGAAUAAUUUGCAAAAUACAUUGAAAUCUAACAAUUGCUAAUUGCAUAAGGAAGUUAAGAAAGGUGUACUCUUCUGGAAAAUAUGUGUCCAGUGCAAUAUUUCUUUUCCAACUUUGUGAGCAUAAUUUUGAAUAAAAAUUGCAACAUGGCUACAGGGAUAAUACAAAAGGUUUAAUCUUAUUUCCAAACACAUUAGGGGAAUCAGAGAAGAAAUAUCAAGAAUUUGGAUAAAAGAAAUAAUUGUCAUGAAUGAAGAACUUGCUUUUUAUUACUUUACAAAAUACUUUUUAUCCGCACAACUGUUAAUGAUAUUAUGAAUAUGGAAGUUAAAAGUGUGGACUUUGAUUAAUCUUCAACUUCUCUGAGCAUAGUUCUUCAUAAAAAUUGUAACUUUAUAAAAUAGUCUUGUAGAAAAAGUGUAAGUCUUUCAUACUUGUUUUAUAGAAAAUGUUUCUGGAUGUUUCAAUGUAAGUUUGCUAGACCCAGACCACUAGCUCCUAAGUCAAGGUUGCACUUAGAUGUCAAAGGUUAAAAGGGUCUGUUUCUGUCUGGUCAAUACUGCCAUACAUAAAGGGAUUUUGGAAUUAUUCGGCAUAAAGUUCACCAUAAAGAGACAACGUAUUAUGCGCAAGACCCAAACCCUUGCUCCAAGGUCAAGGUCACACUUAGAGGUCAAAGGUUAAUAGAGUCUUUUUGGUGUCUGGUCAAUAACUCUGCGAUCCAUGAAGGGACUUUUAGAUAACUUGGCAUAAAUGUUCACCAUAAUGAAACCAGGUGUCAUGCCCAAGACCAAGACCCCUAGCUCGAAGGUCACACUUGGAGACCAAAGGUUAGAUGCAAAAAUGACUUUGUCCGUAGCAUUUCUUGUUCAUGCAUGGAGGGAUUUUGAUGUACAAUGGCAAAAAUGUUCAUCAUCAUGAGAUGGUGUGUGAUGAGUAAGAACCAG